GAAAGUUCGUGCAGAUCUGUGUA
rnacentral:siRNA from 1 species